rnacentral:rRNA from 1 species
UACGUAGGGUGCAAGCGUUGUCCGGAAUUAUUGGGCGUAAAGAGCUCGUAGGCGGUCUGUCGCGUCUGCUGUGAAAACUCAGGGCUUAACCCUGAGCUUGCAGUGGGUACGGGCAGACUAGAGUGCGGUAGGGGAGACUGGAAUUCCUGGUGUAGCGGUGAAAUGCGCAGAUAUCAGGAGGAACACCGGUGGCGAAGGCGGUUCUCUGGGCAUGAUCUGACGCUGAGGAGCGAAAGUGUGGGGAGCGAACAGG